rnacentral:pre_miRNA from 1 species
AAAAAAGCAAACCCUGGGUUUCCGUGUCCAACUUUAACUGUCCGUCUUAUAUAAAAUUUUUUUAUAAUUCGUAUUUUCAUUGCUGUUAGAUGAUAAAACAUGAUUAAUAUUUUAUAUGUGACUUGUCUUUUUCAUUUUUUCAUAAUUUUUUUAAAUAAGACGGACGGUCAAACGUUGGGCACGGAAACCAUGGUUUGUCUUUUU